AUGAACGCUAGCUACAGGCUUAACACAUGCAAGUCGAGGGGCAUCAGGAUGUAGCAAUACAUUGCUGGCGACCGGCGCACGGGUGAGUAACACGUAUCCAACCUGCCUUUUACUCGGGGAUAGGCUUUCGAAAGAAAGAUUAAUACCCGAUGGCAUAAUAUUUCCGCAUGGGAUUAUUAUUAAAGAAUUUCGGUAAAAGAUGGGGAUGCGUUCCAUUAGGCAGUUGGCGGGGUAACGGCCCACCAAACCUUCGAUGGAUAGGGGUUCUGAGAGGAAGGUCCCCCACAUUGGAACUGAGACACGGUCCAAACUCCUACGGGAGGCAGCAGUGAGGAAUAUUGGUCAAUGGGCGGAAGCCUGAACCAGCCAAGUAGCGUGAAGGAUGACUGCCCUAUGGGUUGUAAACUUCUUUUAUAGGGGAAUAAAAUGAGCCACGUGUGGCUUUUUGUAUGUACCCUAUGAAUAAGGAUCGGCUAACUCCGUGCCAGCAGCCGCGGUAAUACGGAGGAUCCGAGCGUUAUCCGGAUUUAUUGGGUUUAAAGGGAGCGUAGGUGGACAUGUAAGUCAGUUGUGAAAGUUUGCGGCUCAACCGUAAAAUUGCAGUUGAUACUGUGUGUCUUGAGUACAGUAGAGGUGGGCGGAAUUCGUGGUGUAGCGGUGAAAUGCUUAGAUAUCACGAAGAACUCCGAUUGCGAAGGCAGCUCACUGGACUGUUACUGACACUGAGGCUCGAAAGUGUGGGUAUCAAACAGGAUUAGAUACCCUGGUAGUCCACACAGUAAACGAUGAAUACUCGCUGUUUGCGAUAUACAGCAAGCGGCUAAGCGAAAGCAUUAAGUAUUCCACCUGGGGAGUACGCCGGCAACGGUGAAACUCAAAGGAAUUGACGGGGACCCGCACAAGCGGUGGAGCAUGUGGUUUAAUUCGAAGCAACGCGAAGAACCUUACCAGGUCUUGACAUCCUACUAACGAGAUAGAGAUAUGUUAGGUGCCCUUCGGGGAAAGUAGAGACAGGUGGUGCAUGGUUGUCGUCAGCUCGUGCCGUGAGGUGUCGGCUUAAGUGCCAUAACGAGCGCAACCCUUAUCUUUAGUUACUAACAGGUUAUGCUGAGGACUCUAGAGAGACUGCCGUCGUAAGAUGUGAGGAAGGUAGGGAUGACGUCAAAUCAGCACGGCCCUUACGUCCGGGGCUACACACGUGUUACAAUGGGGGGUACAGAAGGCAGCUACCUGGUGACAGGAUGCUAAUCCCAAAAGCCUCUCUCAGUUCGGAUCGAAGUCUGCAACCCGACUUCGUGAAGCUGGAUUCGCUAGUAAUCGCGCAUCAGCCACGGCGCGGUGAAUACGUUCCCGGGCCUUGUACACACCGCCCGUCAAGCCAUGGGAGCCGGGGGUACCUGAAGUACGUAACCGCAAGGAGCGUCCUAGGGUAAAACUGGUGACUGGGGCU
rnacentral:rRNA from 1 species